AUGGAAGUGAUGGUCAAGGAACAUGGGAUCAAUUCUUUCAAGUUCUUCAUGGCAUAUAAAGGUUCCUUGAUGGACGACCUCCUCCUUGAAGGCUUACAGAAAUGCAAGUCUCUUGGUGCACUGGCUAUGGUUCAUGCAGAGAACGGGGAUGCUGUUGCUGAGGGACAGCAGCGGAUGAUUGACCUUGGGAUAACUGGUCCAGAAGGGCAUGCUCUCUCAAGACCUCCAGUUUUGGAAGGCGAGGCAACUUCACGGGCAAUUCGAUUAGCAAAAUUCGUCAAUACACCGUUGUAUGUUGUUCAUGUGAUGAGUACUGAUGCAAUGGAAGAGAUUGCCAAGGCUAAAAGAGAAGGUCAGAGAGUCAUCGGGGAACCUGUGGUAUCUGGGCUAGUCCUUGAUGAUUCUUGGCUUUGGGAUCCUGACUUUGCAACUGCUUCAAAGUAUGUGAUGAGUCCUCCAAUCCGGGAAGCAGGGCAUAAUAAAGCACUUCAAGCUGCUCUUUCAUCAGGAAUAUUACAGGAAGAUUCCCAAUGGCGUAAAUGGUAA
rnacentral:rRNA from 1 species